UACGUAGAGGGCUAGCGUUGUCCGGAAUCAUUGGGCGUAAAGAGCGUGUAGGCGGUCCGGUAAGUCCGCUGUGAAAGUCGGGGGCUCAACCCUCGAAUGCCGGUGGAUACUGCCGGGCUAGAGUCCGGAAGAGGCGAGUGGAAUUCCUGGUGUAGCGGUGGAAUGCGCAGAUAUCAGGAGGAACACCAAUAGCGAAGGCAGCUCGCUGGGACGGUACUGACGCUGAGGCGCGAAAGCGUGGGGAGCGAACAGG
rnacentral:rRNA from 1 species